rnacentral:rRNA from 1 species
CGCAUUCCCCUCCGGCAACGCGGGGUCUGACGGAGCGGCGAACGGGUGCGUAACACGUGACCAAUCUGCCCCGAAGAUCGGGAUAGCCCGGGGAAACCCGAGUUAAUACCGGAUGGCCUCAUCGGACCUCAUGGCCCGGUGAGUAAAGGCUCCGGCGCCUCGGGAUGAGGUCGCGUCCCAUCAGCUUGUUGGUGAGGUAACGGCUCACCAAGGCGACGACGGGUAGCUGGUCUGAGAGGACGAUCAGCCACACUGGAACUGAGACACGGUCCAGACUCCUAUGGGAGGCAGCAGCAGGGAAUCUUGCGCAAUGGGCGAAAGCCUGACGCAGCGACGCCGCGUGGGGGAUGAAGGCCUUCGGGUUGUAAACCCCUUUCACGAGGGAAGAAGAUGACGGUACCUCGAGAAGAAGCCCCGGCCAACUACGUGCCAGCAGCCGCGGUAAUACUGUAGGGGGCGAGCGUUGUCCGGAUUUAUUGGGCGUAAAGGGCUCGUAGGCGGCUUGACAAGUCGACCGUGAAAACCCAGGGCUCAACCCUGGAACGCCGGUCGAUACUGUCAUGGCUAGGGUCCGGUAGAGGGGAAUGGAAUUCCCGGUGUAGCGGUGAAAUGCGCAGAUAUCGGGAGGAACACCAGUUGCGAAGGCGGUUCCCUGGGCCGGCACCGACGCUGAGGAGCGAAAGCGUGGGGAGCAAACAGGAUUAGAUACCCUGGUAGUCCACGCCGUAAACGUUGGGUACUAGGCGUGGCGUCCUAUCAACGGAUGCCGUGCUCGAGCUAACGCGUUAAGUACCCCGCCUGGGGAGUACGGCCGCAAGGCUAAAACUCAAAGGAAUUGACGGGAGCCCGCACAAGCGGCGGAGCAUGCGGCUUAAUUCGAUGCAACCCGAAGAACCUUACCUGGACUUGACAUCACGGGAAAAACCCUGGAGACAGGGU